rnacentral:rRNA from 1 species
UACGUAGGGGGCAAGCGUUGUCCGGAAUCAUUGGGCGUAAAGAGCGUGUAGGCGGCCAGGUAGGUCCGUUGUGAAAACUCGAGGCUCAACCUCGAGACGCCGAUGGAAACCAUCUGGCUAGAGUCCGGAAGAGGAGAGUGGAAUUCCCGGUGUAGCGGUGAAAUGCGCAGAUAUCGGGAAGAACACCCGUGGCUAAGGCGGCUCUCUAGUACGGUACUGACGCUGAGACGCGAAAGCGUGGGGAGCGAACAGG